CGUGUCUGCGCGGCAGUCCUGGCCUGUUGAGCUUGUCCAGACGAAGCCUCGCAGGGAUGGGUUGGAAUCUGGGCCGGGCCUCACUCAGGCAGCGUUUGAGGCAGCCCCAGCAGGGUCCUCCUGGGGACUUCCUCCCUUUGAACUGCGGUGGCGGGCGGGCGCACGGUCUCCUGUACGCCCUAGACUAGGGACCGCCAUCUCCAUGGCCACGGCCGUGAGCGGGCCCUGCGCCGGCAAGUCGCGGGACAUACUGUGGCGCAUUCUUUCAGUGACCUGUAUAGUUCCUAUGUAAUCUUUUACUUCCUGCUGCUGUCAGUGGUAAUAAUAAUAAUAAGUAUUUUCAAUGUGGAGUUCUAUGCAGUUGUGCCUUCUAUUCCUUGCUCCAGACUAGCUCUGAUAGGGAAGAUCAUUCAUCCUCAGCAACUCAUGCACUCAUUUAUUCAUGCUGCAAUGGGAAUGGUGAUGGCCUGGUGUGCUGCAGUGAUAACCCAGGGCCAGCACAGUUUUCUUGUGGUUCCCUGCACUGGUACUAACAGCUUUGGUAGCCCUGCUGCGCAAACCUGCUUAAAUGAAUAUCAUCUUUUUUUCCUACUGGCUGGAGCAUUUAUGGGCUAUAGCUAUAGCCUCCUGUAUUUUGUUAACAACAUGAACUAUCUUCCAUUUCCCAUCAUACAGCAAUACAAGUUCUUGCGUUUUAGGAGAUCUCUGCUCUUAUUAGUUAAACACAGUUGUGUGGAAUCACUGUUCCUGGUUAGAAAUUUCUGCAUUUUAUAUUAUUUUCUUGG
rnacentral:sRNA from 1 species